rnacentral:rRNA from 1 species
GACGAACGCUGGCGGCGUGCUUAACACAUGCAAGUCGAGCGGUAAGGCCCUUCGGGGUACACGAGCGGCGAACGGGUGAGUAACACGUGAGCAACCUGCCCCUGACUCUGGGAUAAGCGGUGGAAACGCCGUCUAAUACCGGAUACGACCCGCCACCCCAUGGUGGAGGGGGGAAAGGUUUAUCGGUCAGGGAUGGGCUCGCGGCCUAUCAGCUUGUUGGUGGGGUAACGGCCUACCAAGGCGAUUACGGGUAGCCGGCCUGAGAGGGCGACCGGCCACACUGGGACUGAGACACGGCCCAGACUCCUGCGGGAGGCAGCAGUGGGGAAUAUUGCACAAUGGGCGAAAGCCUGAUGCAGCGACGCCGCGUGGGGGAUGACGGCCUUCGGGUUGUAAACCUCUUUUACCACCAACGCAGGCUCCACGUUCUCGUGGGGUUGACGGUAGGUGGGGAAUAAGGACCGGCUAACUACGUGCCAGCAGCCGCUGUAAUAC